rnacentral:tRNA from 1 species
GCUAGCAUGGCGUAGUGGUUUGAGUAUUGGACUAUGACUCUGGAGAGCAGGGUUCAAAUCCUAGUUCAGCC